GACGAAGGAUGCGAGCGUUAUCCGGAUUCAUUGGGUUUAAAGGGCGCGUAGGCGGCCUUGUAAGUCAGUGGUGAAAUCUCUGGGCUUAACCCAGAAAUUGCCAUUGAUACUGCAGGGCUUGAGUACAGUUGCCGUUGGCGGAAUAUGACAUGUAGUGGUGAAAUACAUAGAGAUGUCAUAGAACACCGAUUGCGAAGGCAGCUAACGAAACUGUAACUGACGCUGAGGCUCGAAAGUGUGGGGAUCAAACAGG
rnacentral:rRNA from 1 species